rnacentral:tRNA from 1 species
GGCGGUUGAGGACAUCGUGGAAGUUGUAUCGGCGCUGAAGCUGCCGAAGUGCAUCUGUUCCAAUUCGACCAGCCAUCG